rnacentral:rRNA from 1 species
UACAGAGGGUGCAAGCGUUGUUCGGAAUUACUGGGCGUAAAGCGCGUGUAGGCUGCGAUGUAGGUCAGGUGUGAAAGCCCUCAGCUUAACUGAGGAAGUGCACUUGAUACUGUGUCGCUUGAGUGUCGGAGGGGGUGGCGGAAUUCCCGGUGUAGAGGUGAAAUUCGUAGAUAUCGGGAGGAACACCUGUGGCGAAGGCGGCCACCUGGACGACAACUGACGCUGAGACGCGAAAGCGUGGGUAGCAAACAGG